AGGGUGCAGAAGAGAACCUGACUCUCUUCUGUUCUUCCACAACAAUAGUAACCUAGCAUCAUACAAGAUGCAAAGCUAUACCCUGAAGCCUACACAGAUGACCUCUUUCUUCCACUGUGGAGAACUUGGCCCAGUUCCAUUUUAGCGGUGUUUUCAUUUACUUUAAAAAAAAAAAAAAAGAAAGAAAAAAGUCAUACUGAGCUCUCCGAUGUUGUGACAAUGUGAAGAUGAGGAUGGGGACUUUGCACCGUGUACAACUGACAGAGAAACGGUCCCAGGGAGUGUCGUGGCAGGACUUCCCUUGGUGUCUGAGGUCCCUGAGAGAGUACACGUACAGUUCACUCUGGAAGCUACACAGCUGAAGCACUGGCAACAGAAGAAGCAGAAUAUGCUUGGCUGUCAUUUUAGCAAUCUUCUCUGCAGCAGUCCUUACGUGCACGGAAGAGGGGCUAUUGCCUGAUGACUCCACACGUAUGAAACAGUUCAAUUUGGAUAGUGAAAACCUUGAUGAAGUAUCAGGUGAAAAUUCCCCUGUGCUUUGCUCUUUCAGGCGAUUGAAUAAUUUCCUGAAGGAACUGGGGAAGCUGCCCCCGUGCUGUCAAAUGUUUAAAGAGCCCUCAGAAAGCUGAACAGAGGCACCCAGAGGACCGUGAAUACUGGCAGGACUCCUCAAGAUUGAUUUGUGCAGUGCUGGAAGAUGAUAGUAGGGACUUUAAAUCCAUACUUUGGGAGGCCUGAAAAUCACCUCACUGGAGUGAAGAUAUGGCAACAGGUCACCAAACGGGUGCAGCCAGCAGCAUCACUGCAGGAGGGGGGAGCCUGACCACCAAGCACAUCAGUUUCCACAGCAGUUUCUGACUUGUGACUCUGAGAAACAAUUCAAACGUCUUGUUUAUUCAAAUGAGAGGCUGUGAAAUGACCUGACAUCCUUCCUGGGUGCAGUUUUGGGUAUUCUCAUAGAAAGUACCACAUAAUGACACUCAAAUCUCUGACAAAAUCUACUGUGAUUGUCCUUCCAGCAUCCUUGGGGGUUGGGGGUUGGUUGAUACCAAAGGCAAAGGAAGAAAUUACAGAUUCAGGUCUUCUUUUUUUUUUUUUUUGCCAUGUUUUUGCAAACUGGUAGAUGGCAAGAAAUCAUUUUCUCUGCACAAAAUACUCUGCUCCUAAUCCUUUCUAUUGCUCUGUGUUGCUGAAACAACCGAGAGUCAGACAACCUCCUUCUGUACCUCUUCAGUCUGGCCCUUGCAUUUUUGUCCCGAUUUUAAUCCAAAACACUUUAGGCCCUCUAAAAAACUACUACUGCUGCAAAGGAUUUUAUGGCCUGGCAAAAUAUCAGCAUUGGUAUCUUCUAAAACCACAUAUAAAAACUCACAGAUCCUAAAGCUCUUAAAGACGAUGGAAACAGAGUAAUUAAAAUCAAAACACUGGUGGUGAUUAAUUACGCCUGGAUUAACAAAAUGCCAGCUUUUGAUAAUUGUCCUGGGGGUCAGGAGGAAAUGAAUCAGUACUGCCCUGCUGGAAGUGGCUCAGGCCACCGUGGUCCUCAAAGCCCAGAGAAUGCGGCUGGGGUUGAAAAUGGUUCCUAUUUUCUCAGCUGGCAGGAGGAAGGAGCAGCAGCGGUGGCUGGUGGUGCCCCUGAUGGAUGGCUGUGGCGAACUGUGGGACGGGCAUGGCAGGGGAACCCCGCACCUCCAGGCAGGCUGCAAUGGAGGAGCUGGGCGAGAAAGGGUUUCAAAGCCUGUGUGAAGGGGAGGUAUCAGCUGGGCCAGCCAGGAGCAGCUGGGUCAGCAACAAAAGCAGAGCCGAGGCAGCAGUUCCUCCCACUGCACCGGGGCAGCGAGGCAGGCAGAGGGCAGCCACUUCCAGGGAAACACCAGGGCUCUGCCUCGGUGUUUUGAGGUCAAAUACUUGUUUUCUUACUUUAAGGCUGCAGCAUACCUAGAACAAUGAGUUGCCCCAGACUCUGGACUAUUUGGAUUCCUCCAAACAAGUUCUCAAAGCUUCUCUUUGGAUCUUACUUAUGGAGAAAAUUGAUGGUGCAAAUGGUAAAAUACACCAAUUUUAAACCAGCAAUCCCAAAAUAUUCAGUGACCUUCAUGCUUGCAUUACUGCUCGUGUAGCACCGUACUUAUCACACUGUGGCCUGAACAUCUUGUUUCCCAUAAUAACUCAACACAGUGAUAUGUGGUCAGAGAGAAAUAUGACCCAGGACUGGCAGCAACUACAACACACAACCCUGGCACAUAGCUCCUUUCCUACCUCAUCCUUGGCAGCAUCACUGGUCACACAUGCUGGGUUGUUAGCCCCAGGGCUGCUGAAGCAGUUCCUUCACUUCUGAGCAGGUCCUCAGCUGAUGCCAGUUCAUAAAGCUCCAUAAAUGAAGCCUACUCACAACUGGAGCCAAUUCCCCUGCAUUGAACUAGGGGGUUAUUGUUAAUUAGGCUGAAUGGAUAUUAUGUGUAUGUUUUUAUUAUUAUUUAUUAUUUUAGAUUAUGAAAAAAAAAAAGUAAAAGUAAGAAACCCAAGAGUGCACUCAAGCCAUGUAGAGCUUGGAUUGCACAAAGCAAGGCUGUGGGAAUCACUGGCAGGGACAAGAACUGAGAGGAAGGGGCCCUGGGUUGCCUCCUCGGUGCUGCAGGGUCAUAGACAAGGCUCUUCUCACGGGCACAUGGACUUUCCGCUUCUCCCCUGGGGUGCGAUGCCUUCUAGUUCCCUUUGGGAGCAGAGCCCCUGGUGAGCUGCGUUUACGCCCCACCAACUACAGUGGGGUCCUGAUGAUGGGGUGUGGGGCGGUUCUAAUGUAAUGUAAAUCAUCAGCUGAAAGAGGGGAUUUAAAAACAAUUUAUUUUGUGGCUGGUACUUCAAAACACUUUACAAGUCAUAUCAAGAGGAUUUUUAAAAAUCUUUCUUUAUGAGUUGCUUUCUUUUCCAGAAUAGUAUCCUUGGAAAUGACCCACUGGUUAAAAACAAAACAAUAAUAAAGCCCUGUGAAGAACAGCAGUUUGAGUUUCCAUGAAUGUCAUUGCCUUCAAAAGCCAUCAGAGCCUGCGCUGUGUCUGGGCAGCACUGCAGAGAAGACAGAGCAGUUGGAAGAGAGGACUGGCAGCAAUGAGGAUACACAAAGAUACCAUCAAAUGUUGUCCAGACUGCUGGUAAGUACAUCUGUCUGUACACCAGACUCAAAACAAACAGCUUGCAGUGAGACUUCAGGCCUUUGCUAGGCUGGGACGCUGCAGUUUGCAGCAACGAGGGGGUAGCACAGCACAGCCACACCGCAAGAGCGAAACCAGUGGGAAGAAAAAGCCACAUAGUAAACAACCCACCGGAAAGCCCAGGGGCUCUAAGUUCAGACAGCUGCCUGUGCGUUUACCCUGCGUAGCUCUAGAGGAUGGGUCUGCACACAGAUAGCUGCACCCCAGCUGUGCUGCUGGGUUUCGUUUUGCUUGCUGCCAGGCAGCAUCCAGGAGCUGAUGUCUGUAGACCUAGCGGACUUGAAGCUUGUUGCCGUGCCACUCUCAUCGGACCAAACACGUAAUUCUUAAAAUGCCAGUGAGAAGUGACGUAGAGCCAUUGACAUGUCCUCAGGGAAGAAUCAGCCAUGGGAACUCAUGCGAUCUUUCUUAAACAGUUGCUGGAGAAGCUCACAGGGACGUUAUUCACAGACUGGUAGAGGGGCUUGCCAUACAGAAGCUCAGGUGUUCCUCUGGUGUUACAAACUAUGGGAGCUGGGCAGCCACUGAGAGGAGUGAAAAAGCAGACUUGGAGACUUGCAAACACCUGCCUGUCCCCAGCUUACCUACCCUCACCCUUGUACGGAUGGGGGAUGGUGCCAGCGUACUGCGAGGAAUGGUAGUGCUGUUGUAAGUUUUGAAGGUACUUUCCAAGCUGCCUUCAUACUUCUGCACAUGGUCCUGUGAUUUUAUUAAAUUCUUCUGAUGUUGCUCCUGACCUAAGCUAACUGCUUUUCUAUUGACAUCAACUUUUGCCACUCCACUGUUCACCCCCAGGUUAUUAAUGCAGCAUUAAACAAUAUUGUUCUGAGUCCUGAUCUCUGGGGCACCUCAUUAUUAAUCUCUUUCCCUACUAGAAUUGGCCAUUUAUUCCAUACCCAUUUAUAACCAGAUUUUUAUCCAUGACAGGACUUUACCUCUCACUUUGUGGUUACCAAGUUUCCUUAACAGUUUCUUGUAUGGGUGUUUAUCAAAAGGCUUUUGAAUAUCCAAAUAAAUUAUAUCCUCUGGUUGUCCUGUACCUGCUAUUUUAUUAACUCUUAGAAGUGUAAAAGGUCUGACUGGGAAGAUUUAUUCUUAAGGCAGCUAUGUUACUUCUUUCCUUUGCUUGAGACUUGAUAUUUCCCCGCAGAUUGUAAAAUAUUUAGAACAGCAAGCAGCUCUCUGAGUCCUGUGGCUUGAAACAGCACCGAGUAUGUUGUCAAUGUUUAAUUAAAAAUAAAAGUGCAUGUCAUAUACCAGUGACUUUCUAAACUACUUCCUUGUAAUGAAGUUAAGCUAAUAAUGUAAAAUUUCCAUGAGCUCGCUCUGUCUGUGUAAAUAUUUACAGGGCCUUUAUUGCUGCAGUACCAGAUUUCCACAUGCAUUAAUAGAGUUAUCCUCGUAACACCUCUCUGAUACAGGGCAGCUUUAAUCCUGACUGACUGGUGAAGAAUCAGGGCACACUGACAUCUGGCACAUAAAAACCAAGCUGCUGUACUUUGAGAAUACAGGAUAAGAGAUAAAACACCUUUACCCACUUACAGAUGCUGUAUUCACACAAAAAAUAAAAAUAAAAAAUGCAAGAAUCAUCACCAUUGAUAAAUGCAAUCAAAAAAGGCACAGUGCCCCAGCAUCUCUCCCCAAGCUCUCUAAAGCCAGAGCUCAUUUUUCCCUUUGGAAAAACUGUAGAGCACUGUAGGUAGAGUCCAAGCUUUUCCUUUUCUCAGACUGUCUGUACUUGCAGGUUUUUGCUGGCUCUGCUAGUGACCAUUUAUUUUGGACUCACACCACACAUUCAAUGUUUCAUUAUGCAUUUUUGUUCCAGCCAGAACUAAUACAAUUGGCUGCAUCUCAGCUUGCUUCAAAUAUACAAGGGAGUGGGUUUCCUGAGAGGAAAGGAAGAAACAGCAUUUAAAAAGAGAGAGAGAGAGAGGGGGGGAGAUCUUGCUUAAAGUAAAGAGCAUUAUAAAGAUUUUGCCAUGUAAGAACACUUACUAAAGACUACAAAAGGCCUGCAAAGGCCUGCCUCUGGCCCUGUAUCCCUGAGGAAUGAGAGGCUUUCCACCCUGAGCUGAAGGCUGACAAGACUCUGGCAGAGCAGGGAAUGACGGAGCGUUUGGACAUGGAAGGGCCCUCACUGAAUAGGCAUGAGGACAUGGACUUGUGUUUUUGAGGGACUUCGGGCCUCAUGGCUGAGGCUGGGCUUUCCAAAAAAAGCUCCACUUCCACAUAAACAGCCAGAACAGGUGGCCAGGAAUUCAAAAGGUUAUGAAGUCCUUUCAAAAAACAAAAUUAACUCCAAAGUGUUGAAGGGGAGCAGUGUGACUAUGUAGCACUUCAGGAAGAACAAACUUCCCCAGCAGAAGCUCUGACAGAUCCCAGCUCCCACAAACAUGUUUCCAGUUGUGUUUUUUAACUGAGAUUCCGAAGCUACCCAUGCUUGAAAAUAUGGCACUCCUAUUUUUUGGGCCUGGAGUCAACAUCUGUCGGAGUUUAAGAAGCGUUUGGACUGUGCGCUUAGUCACAUGGUCUGAAUUUUUGGGUUGACCUGUGUGGUGCCAGGAGUUGGACUCGAUGAUCCUUGUGGGUCCCUUCCAGCUCAGGAUAUUCUAUGAUUCUAUGAUCUCUCGAGAUGAACAGUGAGACCUGCUUGCAAAUACCAGCUUGGGAGCCUGAAAACAAAGAUGGCUGGGCUUCGCCUGGCCAAGUUCAUGGCCUCCAUCAGCCAGCCAGGCUGGGAGCCCAGGGGGACAGGAGCACAGGCACUAAAGGUGACCCCCUGCAGGGUUUCGAUGCAGGCUCUUGACCAUCCUGAAGCACAAGAUUGGCCUCCGGGAGGGCUCUGGCUGCUGCAGCA